rnacentral:rRNA from 1 species
CGGCCCAGACUCCUACGGGAGGCAGCAGUGGGGGAUAUUGCACAAUGGAGGAAACUCUGAUGCAGCAACGCCGCGUGAGGGAAGAAGGUUUUCGGAUUGUAAACCUCUGUCCUCAGGGACGAUAAUGACGGUACCUGAGGAGGAAGCUCCGGCUAACUACGUGCCAGCAGCCGCGGUAA